GAGGUGGGCGCACGAACACUAUCGUUUCCGAGUGCACCUACGAGAAUCGAACCACGCCUAUCCCCCUACCCAUGUUCGCGCGACCGGCCACCUCGUGCUGUUUUUACCGGCAAGGUAACCGAUGACGAGACAGAGAAAGAGAGUCGUGGUGGAUUCGCUCGAUGGAAGUGAAGAAUGAGACAGAGAGGGAAGUCUCUUUUACUGGUUUCUCUACUACGGCCUGCCCACGCGCCGAGGAUGCGUGCUUGCGCGCGCAAAAGCUCGUUGAUAAGGAACACGUUGCACAGGAUGUUGAGAAUCUUAAAAGUCGAUGGGAAUUGAUGCCUUCCAGACAAAUUACGACGACCUUCUUCUUACCUUCUUUCCAUUGUGACGGAUUAAAAAAAAAAAAACGCAAUGUUUAUUAUCGUAUAUCGUAUUAUUCACUGGUGUGUUCUUUAUGUUACUGCGCAACAAGUGUGCGCGUAUGGGGUCACGUGACAGUUCUUCCCGAAUAACCGUUCGUAAACACGAGAAUACGGUAGGCAAAGAAUUUCUCGUACAAUCGAUUCUGUGAAGUGAUCUAGAAAAAGUGAGAAACAGAAGAUAAGCAGAGUUUUGUUGUUUUUUGCAAGUUUCAAGUAUAUUAUUUAUCUCGUCGAACGUGUAUACUUCUUCGCAGUAAGAUAAUGACUCAACGCUGGAGGAAAGAGGGAGAAGCGUCGUAAACCGCGCGUGAACCCGACUUGUAGCCUGAGACUCAUCGCACGCCGAGUUGUAUAAAUACAAACCAAGGAAGAGGGGGGAAUCAACUUGGCGCGGAUCGAAGGUGGCGAAACUAAUCCCAUUCCACGGAGGACGUUCCAUGGGAUGUAAUCAAACUUUCGGAGGUGGAACUGGAACUCUCUCGGAAGCCACGAAUACUGGGAUUCAACGUCUAUCGUUUUAUCCGUGUUCGACAACAACUAACCGACAAUUUGUAAACUUUCCCUACGAUAUACCUGAUCGAUCGAACGAAACGAAAGCUUUUCGUUUUCCGACGAAAUCUAGUCGACGAUCUUUAAGAAAAAGGAACGCGAUUCCGCGACUCGUUUUUAGGCUAAGAAUAUAACGUAAUCCGAAAAUUAAAAAAAGAAGAAAGAAGAAGAAGGAACAAGGCCUUUUAUUCUUAGAACAACUCUCCCCCCCUCCCCCUUGUCUCGUCGUGAGCGCGUCGAGCGAAUCGAAGGAAGAGGAGGAAGGAAGGAAGGAAGAGAAAAAAAAGAGAGGCGAGAGGGAGAGCAAGGGGAGCAAGGGAAGUCGGAGAUUCGCGACAACUCGGGCCACUCGCACGAUUUACCGGCCGCCGGUUCGUGGCCAACCAUUUAAUCGAUUAAUCAAUUAAGCGAGCGAUUAAUUAUCGAAGCGGGGCAGCGGUGUGAAGGCAGAAGGGGUUGAGGGGGGAAGACGGCGGUAAUUAAAUCGUCGCGUCGGGAGCAAUCGGACGCGGUCGAGGGAGCCCGACGAGAGGCCACAAAUGAUUUUGUCGUAACGACGUGGAGAGCACCCCGGGCCCAACCCUGCCCGGCUAAUUAAGUCUUAGUCGUAUUCGUUUCUUUCUUUUCCUUCCACGAUGACCGCGUCCGUACGUUGCUUCCAACCGGCCACUCCGAACCCCACCGCCUCCGUCCAUUCUCCAUCCGCUCCUCUCCUCCACCGGCGAUAUGCUGGUAGCGUACGCCCGUUCCAAUCUUAUCCAACGUACGGCCCUCGGAUUCGCGCGUCCUCAUCUCGCAGUUAUACGCCCGUAUUCCACUUUUCUUUCAUCUUUUUCUCCAUUUUCCGAAGCAGAUGUUCCUCGUUUGCGUAUCGAUCCUAUAUAUCGAUAUAUUUUACAUUUAUAUAUAUAUAUUUAUAUGUUUUACAUUUCUCAUUUCA